GGGCCGUUAACUCAGUGGAAGAGUGCUACCUUCACACGGUAGAAGUCACUGGUUCAAAUCCAGUACGGCCCACCA
rnacentral:tRNA from 1 species